AAUGGAGGAAGGGAGCAAAAUAAGAGGAGAAUGGAAAUGCAUUUCCCUUAUCAGCUGCAGAUAUCUGGGCUUCAGCUCUGUUGAUUCGCUUUCUCUGGAUUAUCUCCCUGAAGGCCAUGCACAGUGUUUGCUGAUACAGGUGUGGUGUAGAGGUGUACACUGUUGAUGUGGCUCUGCAGUGGCUUCUCCAUGAUUUCCCACUCUUCUUCACAUUUUGACAUUUUGAGAGAUUACAGGGCAUCCUGUAUAUUUAGUCCUGGGCUCAGGAUUUCUUCAGCAAGCUCUGGUUCC